AUAAUUCUGUUGAUCAUGAAACUCAUGCUCUGUUGGUCAAACAAGUUAAUCACCAGCCUAAGUUCUUGAAAGACAAGUCAAAGAGGUCCUCUCUAUACUGUACUCACUGUGGGUACAAUGGACACACUGUGGAGAAGUGUUUCCAGUUGCAUGGAUAUCCCCCUGGUUGGACUGGACCCAAAGGCAAGCGAUAUUCACCUACUGUAAAUGCAGCUAUCUCAAAUGAAGAGGUCUAUAUUACCAACAGCAAUGAGAACCAAAAGUUUUCUUUAACUCAUGAGGAAUUUACCAAGCUUUUAGCACUUGCUAAUUCAAAUCCUUCACUGCCUCAAACAAACCUCACACCAGCUGUGAAUCUUGCCACUUCUCAUUUCUCUGGACCAAUCAGCAAAGAGGAUGAUUGGGAUUGCUCAUGAAAAACAUGGACUUUACCACUUCAAACAA